rnacentral:tRNA from 1 species
GUGGGUAUGGCCUAGUUGGUUAGGGCGCAAGUUUGUGGCACUUGAGGUCGUGGGUUCGAACCCCACUAUCCACCCCA